rfam:Canis lupus familiaris chromosome 2, whole genome shotgun sequence.
CGGGGGAGGCGGGAUCCUGGGCUGUGUCCCGGCGCCCUGUGCUCCGGGGCCUGCGCUGUUGGAUUCGCGCUCCCGCCCCGCAGCCCCCU